rnacentral:lncRNA from 1 species
CCAGAUUGAUGUUUCCUUUUCUAAUUGAUAGGAUAUUUCACCAGACUUUCUUUCUUUUUAGUUGCUCUCCACUUUCAAUAAUGCUAACCGUUCCUAGGAUAUCUCGCUUAUUCUUACCAGAGUCAUCCCUUCUUCCAUCAUGCUUGGAUUCUUCCUUAGUUCUUUUAUCUCGAUCGCUACUCCUCUCCUCAUUUCUUUUAUCAAUAAAUCUCCAGAGCUCUCCUGCCUGAAGUAAUCUUUCUAUUUUUUUUUUUCAAAUGAAAACAGUUGUCUAUUGUAUGCCCAUUACCUUCAUGAAAAGCACAAUACUUAUUCUUAUCUCUUUUAUCUUUUUUUUGUUGGGUUUGUCUAUUGUAGCUAGUGGAUAUCUUUCUUAUAUUUUCUUUCACCCAUAUUAAAAUAUGAGAUUGAGAUUCUCAUAAAGGAGUGUACUCUUGCCUUCUAUCAUCAGUUCUGGCAUAUUUUUCCUUUUCUCUUUUAUAAUCUCUUUUCUUUUCAGAUGUUUUUUUUUACAUUUUCUUAUUGCUCUAACUUUUGCUUCCUCAUGAUUCUUCUUUCUUUAUCCAAGUAUACAUACUUUUGGGCUAGAGCCAUCAGCUUAAUGAAUGUUUCCACUUUCUUAGUAUGUAAUUUAUCAAUCAGCUUUCCUAGCUUGGUUCCUUUUUUCAAGGCUUCUAUCGUUGUAUCCACAUUCAGUAAAUCAAUGUGAACGACUUCCUUAUUGAAUCGCUCCAAAUAUUUUCUUAAUGUUUCUCCUUCUUCUUGCUUACAAGAAUACAAGUCAUUAGAGCUUUUCUUCAAUCGAAUCUUGGUCAUGAAUUUGAACAUAAUUGUCUUUGCCAGUUCCUCAAAAUUAUUAAUUAAUUUCGGCUUCAAUUUCAAAUGCCAAGCCUAAGUUAAAUCUUUUAAGGUAGUUGAAAACACUUACAGAGAAC